rnacentral:rRNA from 1 species
GAGCAAGGAUGAAAAUCGGACUUAGUGAUCCGGUGGUUCUGCGUGGAAGGGCCAUCGCUCAACGGAUAAAAGCUACCCUGGGGAUAACAGGCUUAUCUCCCCAAGAGUCCACAUCGACGGGGAGGUUUGGCACCUCGAUGUCGGCUCAUCACAUCCUGGGGCUGUAGUAGGUCCCAAGGGGUUGGGCUGUUCGCCCAUUAAAGUGGUACGCGAGCUGGGUUCAGAACGUCGUGAGACAGUUCGGUCCCUAUCCGUCGCAGGCGUAGGAAAUUUGAGAGACCUGUCCUUAGUACGAGAGGACCGGGAUGGACGUACCUCUGGUGUACCAGUUGUUCUGCCAAGGGCAUGGCUGGGUAGCUAUGUACGGAAUGGAUAAGCGCUGAAAGCAUCUAAGCGCGAAGCCAACUUCAAGAUAAGAUUUCCCACCGCAAGGGUAAGACCCCAGAACUAUCUGGUUGAUAGGUCGAAGGUGUAAGUGCAGCAAUGUAUUUAGCUUAUCGAUACUAAUAGGUCGAGGACUUGACCAA